rfam:Poecilia formosa, whole genome shotgun sequence.
GUUCCUGUAGUGUAGUGGUUAUCACGUUUGCUUUACACGCAAAAGGUCUCUGGUUCAAAACCAGACAGAAAUG